GAUGAACGCUAGCGGCAGGCUUAAUACAUGCAAGUCGAACGGUAACAGGUUUGUAGCAAUACAGAUGCUGACGAGUGGCAGACGGGUGAGGAACACGUACACAACUUCCCUUUAUCUGGUGAAUAGCCCCUCGAAAGAGGGAUUAAUACACCAUAACAUCUUGAAGAGUCAUCUCUUUACGAUUAAAGCUCAGGCGGAUAGAGAUGGGUGUGCGUCGAUUAGCUAGUUGGUUGAGGUAACGGCUCACCAAGGCGACGAUCAGUAACUGGUGUGAGAGCACGACAGUCACACGGGCACUGAGAUACGGGCCCGACUCCUACGGGAGCAGCAGUAAGGAAUAUUGGUCAAUGGACGCAAGUCU
rnacentral:rRNA from 1 species